UCCGUAGGUGAACCUGCGGAAGGAUCAUUACCGAGUGCGGGUCCUUUGGGCCCAACCUCCCAUCCGUGUCUAUUGUACCCUGUUGCUUCGGCGGGCCCGCCGCUUGUCGGCCGCCGGGGGGGCGCCUCUGCCCCCCGGGCCCGUGCCCGCCGGAGACCCCAACACGAACACUGUCUGAAAGCGUGCAGUCUGAGUUGAUUGAAUGCAAUCAGUUAAAACUUUCAACAAUGGAUCUCUUGGUUCCGGCAUCGAUGAAGAACGCAGCGAAAUGCAAUAACUAAUGUGAAUUGCAGAAUUCAGUGAAUCAUCGAGUCUUUGAACGCACAUUGCGCCCCCUGGUAUUCCGGGGGGCAUGCCUGUCCGAGCGUCAUUGCUGCCCUCAAGCCCGGCUUGUGUGUUGGGUCGCCGUCCCCCUCUCCGGGGGGACGGGCCCGAAAGGCAGCGGCGGCACCGCGUCCGAUCCUCGAGCGUAUGGGGCUUUGUCACAUGCUCUGUAGGAUUGGCCGGCGCCUGCCGACGUUUUCCAACCAUUCUUUCCAGGUUGACCUCGGAUCAGGUAGGGAUACCCGCUGAACUUAAGCAUAUCAAUAAGCGGAGG
rnacentral:rRNA from 1 species